rnacentral:rRNA from 1 species
AUUGAACGCUGGCGGAAUGCUUUACACAUGCAAGUCGAACGGCAGCACGGACUUCGGUCUGGUGGCGAGUGGCGAACGGGUGAGUAAUGUAUCGGAACGUGCCCAGUCGUGGGGGAUAACGUAGUGAAAAUUACGCUAAUACCGCAUACGACCUAUGGAUGAAAGCGGGGGAUCGCAAGACCUCGCGCGAUUGGAGCGGCCGAUAUCAGAUUAGGUAGUUGGUGGGGUAAAGGCCCACCAAGCCAACGAUCUGUAGCUGGUCUGAGAGGACGACCAGCCACACUGGAACUGAGACACGGUCCAGACUCCUACGGGAGGCAGCAGUGGGGAAUUUUGGACAAUGGGCGAAAGCCUGAUCCAGCCAUUCCGCGUGCAGGAUGAAGGCCCUCGGGUUGUAAACUGCUUUUGUACAGAACGAAAAGGUUUCUACUAAUACUAGGAGCUCAUGACGGUACUGUAAGAAUAAGUACCGGCUAACUACGUGCCAGCCGCCGCGGUAA